CGGGGAGUAGCACAGUCUGGUAGUGCGCGAGCUUUGGGAGCUUGAGGUCGUGGGUUCGAAUCCCGCCUUCCCGA
rnacentral:tRNA from 1 species